rnacentral:rRNA from 1 species
GGGUUGUGAGGUUAAGCGACUAAGCGUACACGGUGGAUGCCCUGGCAGUCAGAGGCGAUGAAGGACGUGCUAAUCUGCGAAAAGCGUCGGUAAGGUGAUAUGAACCGUUAUAGCCGGCGAUGUCCGAAUGGGGAAACCCAGUGCAAUUCGUUGCACUAUCGUUAACUGAAUACAUAGGUUAACGAGGCGAACCGGGGGAACUGAAACAUCUAAGUACCCCGAGGAAAAGAAAUCAACCGAGAUUCCCCCAGUAGCGGCGAGCGAACG